AAUGUUUCUAAAGUACACAAAGGAUGUUGAAAGGUACCCAAAGGGCUCUAAUUGCUACCAUUCAAUGUGUGGAAUCAAGUAUUUACACAGAUACUGCCACAAUAUGUUCUUAUUAUUUUCAAAGGAGUUUUCACACAGUGCCAGAACUUCUGGCAGAAGCUGUAUAAAUACAUUUAACAAUGUAUAUUUCAAGAAGAAAUGAUGCUUUCUUAUUUCUAAGAGUUUAUCAAUAGGAUGAAUGCCACAAAACUCACUUGUUAUGCCAGAAACUCUUCCUACGAAACUUCCAUACUAGAAUUUGUCCAGUGCCUGUGAUCCUCUGAGUUGAAGGAGAAUGUGCUCCAUAAUACCUACUAGGAGCUUGCUGAUAGCUGGAAGUUCAUGAAUACUAUGUUGUCCUUGAUUUGAUGAUUCUGAAAACUACCAUUUCUGAAGACUUGAGCAUUAUUUCUAUAAUUUAAAAAAAUCUUUUCAGGAAAUAUUAUGUUUAUAAUAUUAAGAAAGUGAAGAUAAUAUUGUUCUUACUAAUAUUAUUGACUUAUUAAAAUAGAAAGCACAUCAUUACCAAUAUUCACUUGUCAAUAAAUGUUAGCAUUAUU